CCUUUAAGCAGCAGUGAGCCUCACAAACCCUUAAAAUUGAUUGACUUAAAAUGGCUUGAACUUUAUUAAAACGGUUUGCACUGAUAUAUUGUGCUAGCUACACUUUGUUCAUUUUGUGCUUUUGUUCCUUUGUUUAUUGGUCUUACAGAUAAGCCUGCUGUGAAAAGUGUCACAAACAUCCUGAAAAAAUAAAACCAAAGUUUCUCUGAGAUUACGUGUUAUGUAAUCUUGUUAAAACAUAUUUCUUAAAAUAAAAGUAUCGAAAAAAGUAUUGUUCGGAACCGGUAUUGAAUUCAGGGUAUCGGUAUAGAAAAUUUUGGAAUGAUACCCAGCCCUACUACUAACAGUACUCACUUUCUCUGCUGGCUUUUUUCAGAUUGCAUUCAAAAAUCCAUUCAGGGAAUGCUUUGGCCACCAGAUCUGGGAUUUUGGAGUCUAUCCUGGAGUCUACAGGCAGGGAACAACCCAGGAUGCAGCUCCCAAAUCCCCUUUUUGCUAAAUUCAACUUCCAACACUAAGGGUGCCUUGUCAACAGCAGGUGUUACGGGAGAGCAAUGGGAGAAAGACAGUUGCCUUAUCAGGCUGGAGGAACACAAGCCACUCUGUUCAGACAUGGAACGGGAAGCAACAGAUGAUUAUAAUAAAGUCUACUGUCUUAUACUUGAGAGACUCUCUCAUCCCUGCUCUCCAAACUAAGUAAAAUCAUGGAUUUGAUCAGCUGGUCUCUCAACGCAAUUGACACCAUCUUCUCGACGAGAAGCCUAGGUUCGGGGGAACCUGACUGUCCUGCAGGAACUUAUGCAGCUGGCUACACAAUGGACGGAUGGGGGAAGUGGAGGGUCGUGUGCCUGGCAGCUCUUUCCUUGGAGGACAUUGAAGACAUCUACCUAUUCGGAACCAUGAUUACAGGUAUUAUGCUGAUUGGAUUAGGCAUUGCCCUGGUUUAUCGAAGAUUGAAGAAAACGGUGACAGCCGCUCAAAACCCCACUAGGCUGGCCGGAAUGAUUGAUGGAGUGGGCAGAGCUGUUAGCACUCAGACUGUGACAAUUGAUCGCAAACUGGAUAACAUCACUGUGACUAUGGAUCGCAAAUUGGAUAACAUCAUGGAGAAGCUCACGGCUUUGCAAAAAUUAUUGGAUGGCGGAGACCAGCGUGGACAUUAAGGGAGUUGGAGAUUACAGCUUCUCGCCCGGAAACCCAAACAACCCCAUCCUAUCAGGUUUUGGCUCCCCCUAAUCAGCAGCGGUCUUGGCCGACUAACUAACAACUCCCCCAGAAGAACAAGGCAGUGAGACUCUCUUGCAUUCCUCUCCCCCAAUCCCACGGACUGACCGCACCCU